GACGUAGGGCGCGAGCGUUGUUCGGAUUUACUGGGCGUAAAGGGCGCGUAGGCGGCGCAACAAGUCACUUGUGAAAUCUCCGGGCUUAACCCGGAGCGGUCAAGUGAUACUGUCGUGCUAGAGUGCGGAAGGGGCUACUGGAAUUCUCGGUGUAGCGGUGAAAUGCGUAGAUAUCGAGAGGAACACCUGCGGCGAAGGCGGGUUGCUGGGCUGACACUGACGCUGAGGCGCGAAAGCUAGGGGAGCGAACGGG
rnacentral:rRNA from 1 species